rnacentral:rRNA from 1 species
AACGUAGGAGGCAAGCGUUAUCCGGAGUUACUGGGCGUAAAGCGUGUGUAGGUGGUUCGCCAAGUUCGGUGUGAAAGCCCCUGGCUCAACCGGGGGAGGACAUUGAAGACUGGCGGGCUGGAGGGUGGUAGAGGGGCGUAGAAUUCCGGGUGUAGCGGUGAAAUGUGUAGAGAUCCGGAGGAAUACCAGUGGUGCAGACGGCGCCCUGGGCCACACCUGACACUGAGACACGAAAGCGUGGGGAGCGAACGGG